UCCCUCGUGGCGCAAUUGGCUAGCGCGUCAGACUGUUAUCUUUCCAAGUGAUUAAUUACACAAUUAAUUACUUAAGGAGGAAAAGCGGAAUCUGGAGGCUGUAAGUUCGAUCCUUACCGAGGGAG